GGGGAUUUAGCUCAGUGGUAGAGCGCUUGCCUAGCAAGCACAAGGGUUCAGUCCUCA
rfam:Rattus norvegicus chromosome 15, whole genome shotgun sequence.